rnacentral:rRNA from 1 species
AUUGAACGCUGGCGGCAGGCCUAACACAUGCAAGUCGAACGAGUGGCGGACGGGUGAGUUAUGACUGUGAAACUGCCUGAGGGAGGGGGAUAACUACUGGAAACGGAUGCUACUACCGCACACCAUCAGCUGUGCCCAGAUGGGAUUAGCUAGUUGGUGGGGUACCGGCUCACCAAGGCCACGAUCCCUAGCUGGUCUGAGAGGAUGACCAGCCACACUGGAACUGAGACACGGUCCAGACUCCUACGGGAGGCAGCAGUGGGGAAUAUUGCACAAUGGGCGCAAGCCUGAUGCAGCCAUGCCGCGUGUAUGAAGAAGGCCUUCGGGUUGUAAAGUACUUUCAGCGGGGAGGCGUUACCCGCAGAAGAAGCACCGGCUAACUCCGUGCCAGCAGCCGCGGUAAUUC